GGGGGCGACCUGGUUUCGACGUGGGUAUCGAAGCAGCGCAGGGCAUACCGAGGACCAGUGACCUCGUAAAUCCAUCUGGAAAUUCUCAAACGCCAACGACGAGCGUUUCGCUCUAGCCGCCUAAUACCGGCUAGACGCUGCACUGGCUUGCUGAUGGGCCAGGCUCCCGAAAGGGAGUGCAGCGUCAUUCACAUCAGCUCCUGUGCGCGGUUUGGUCGCUUGACCGCGCGCAUCCGUCGAAGCGACUGGCUGAGCGUCAGCCUGCCGGCCGGCGGGCGCAAGGCGAGACCCAAAUGACCAGGCUAAGUAUGUAGGCCUGACUGCGGAGGACUUGCGGACGCGGGUUCGAUUCCCGCCGCCUCCACCA
rnacentral:tmRNA from 1 species